AAAUUUAAAGAAUUUGGCGGUAUUUUAGUCUAGUUAGAGGAACCUGUUUUAUAAAUGAUACUACACGCAAUAUCUUACUAGUUCUUGUUUGCUUGUAUACCGUCAUUAUUAGAUAACUUUGAUAGAGUGUUGUUGAAAUUAGGGCCCUAAGUUUAUUAGAUCAAGGUGCAGCUUAUGGGCCAGUAAAAAUGGGUUACAAUAAAAUUUUUUUAACGGAUUGGUGUUUGAAAAGGGCCAUGAAGGGGGAUUUAAUUGUAAUGAUUUUAUGUAAUAAGUUGGGGUGAUAU
rnacentral:rRNA from 1 species